AACGCGAAGAACCUUACCUACCCUUGACAUCCUAGGAAUCUUUCAGAGAUGAGAGAGUGCCUUCGGGAACCUAGAGACAGGUGAUGCAUGGCUGUCGUCAGCUCGUGUCGUGAGAUGUUGGGUUAAGUCCCGUAACGAGCGCAACCCUCGUUCUUAGUUGCUAGCAGUUCGGCUGAGCACUCUAAGGAGACUGCCGGUGAUAAACCGGAGGAAGGCGGGGAUGACGUCAAGUCAUCAUGUCCCUUACGGGUAGGGCUACACACGUGCUACAAUGGGCAGUACAAAGGGUUGCCAAACCGCGAGGUGGAGCUAAUCCCAUAAAGCUGUUCGUAGUCCGGAUUGGAGUCUGCAACUCGACUCCAUGAAGUUGGAAUCGCUAGUAAUCGCAAAUCAGCAUGUUGCGGUGAAUACGUUCCCGGGCCUUGUACACACCGUAGUAC
rnacentral:rRNA from 1 species